ensembl:lncRNA
GAGCCAGCCCUAUAGUCAGUCAGAGAGCCAGCCCUAUAGUCAGUCAGAAAACCAGCCCUAUAGUCAGUCAGAGAGCCAGCCCUAUAGUCAGUCAGAGAGCCACCCCUAUAGUCAGUCAGGGAGCCAGCCAGCCAUAUAGUCAGUCAGAGAGCCAGCCAGCCCUAUAGUCAGUCAGAGAGCCAGCCCUAUAGUCCUUCAAAGAGCCAGCCAUAUAGUCAGUCAGAGAGCCAGCCCUGUAGUCAGUCAGAG